GAUGAAGAACGCAGCGAAAUGCGAUAAGUAGUGUGAAUUGCAGACUUUAGUGAAUCAUCGAAUCUUUGAACGCACAUUGCGCCCGCCAGUAUUCUGGCGGGCAUGCCUGUCUGAGCGUCAUUUCAACCCUCAGCCCCCGCUCGCGGGGCGCUGGCGUUGGGGAUCGGCCGUCCUCGCGGCGGCCGGCCCCGAAACACAGUGGCGGUCUCUCGCGGACUCCCCUGCGUAGUAGCACUACCUCGCAGAAGGGACGAGCGGGCUGACCACGCCGUAAAACCCCCCACUUCUCCAGGUUGACCUCAGAUCAGGUAGGAAUACCCGCUGAACUUAAGCAUAUCAAUAAGCGGAGGA
rnacentral:misc_RNA from 1 species